UACGGAGGGGGCUAGCGUUGUUCGGAAUUACUGGGCGUAAAGCGCACGUAGGCGGCUUUGUAAGUCAGGGGUGAAAGCCUGGAGCUCAACUCCAGAACUGCCUUUGAGACUGCAUCGCUUGAAUCCGGGAGAGGUGAGUGGAAUUCCGAGUGUAGAGGUGAAAUUCGUAGAUAUUCGGAAGAACACCAGUGGCGAAGGCGGCUCACUGGUCCGGUACUGACGCUGAGGUGCGAAAGCGUGGGGAGCAAACAGG
rnacentral:rRNA from 1 species